GUGGGGAAUUUUGGACAAUGGACGCAAGUCUGAUCCAGCCAUGCCGCGUGAGUGAUGAAGGCCUUCGGGUUGUAAAGCUCUUUAGCCGAUGAUUAUAAUGACUGUAGUCGGAAAAUAAGCCCCGGCUAACUUCGUGCCAGCAGCCGCGGUAAUACGAAGGGGGCGAGCGGUAUUCGGAAUCACUGGGCGUAAAGCGUGCGUAGGCGGUUUUGUAAGUUGGGAGUGAAAGCCCAGGGCUCAACCCUGGAAUUGCUCUCAAAACUACAAGACUUGAAUUCGGGAGAGGAUAGCGGAAUUGUCAGUGUAGCAGUGAAAUGCGUAGAUAUUGACAGGAACACCAGUGGCGUAAGCGGCUAUCUGGACCGACAUUGACGCUGAGGCACGAAAGCGUGGGGAUCAAACAGGAUUAGAAACCCGUGUAGUCC
rnacentral:rRNA from 1 species